rnacentral:rRNA from 1 species
GACAGAGGGUGCAAACGUUGUUCGGAAUUACUGGGCGUAAAGCGCGUGUAGGCGGCUCUGUAAGUCGGGUGUGAAAUCCCACGGCUCAACCGUGGAAGUGCACUCGAAACUGUUUAUCUUGAGUGCCGGAGAGGAAAGCGGAAUUCCUGGUGUAGAGGUGAAAUUCGUAGAUAUCAGGAGGAACACCAGUGGCGAGGGCGGCUUUCUGGACGGUAACUGACGCUGAGACGCGAAAGCGUGGGGAGCAAACAGG